AUUGAACGCUGGCGGCAGGCCUAACACAUGCAAGUCGAACGAAUGGCGGACGGGUGAGUAAUGUAUGGGAAACUGGCUGAUGGAGGGGGAUAACUAGGGGAAACGGUAGCUAAUAGCGCAUACGGUCAGAUGUGCUGAGAUGGGAUUAGCGUGUUGGUGGGGUAAGGGCUCACCAAGGCGAAGAUCCCUAGCAGAGCUGAGAGGAUGAACGUCCACACUGGAACUGAGACACGGUCCAGACUCCUACGGGAGGCAGCAGUGGGGAAUAUUGCACAAUGGACGAAAGCCUGAUGCAUCCACGCCGCGUGUAUGAAGAAGGCCUUCGGUUUGUAAAGCACUUUCGGCGGGGAGGCGUUACCCACACAAGAAGCACCGGCUAACUCCGUGCCAGCAGCCGCGGUAAUAC
rnacentral:rRNA from 1 species